UCCCGGUUUUCGUCCCAUUCCCAUUUAACUAAGCAUCGCGUGGAGCUUCGACGGCGACAGUGACGCGUCGAGAAUCCGAUCGGCCUACCAUCGAUCGCUUGGGGCAAGACGAACACUCCGUAAAGCGUGCGAACGCCGUCCGAGAUUCGUCGAUUGAACCCAGAAUCCCAGAUUUGUGAAUGGCCACACCAUUUUUCGCUGGGCUUGCAGUUGCUGCUACUGCCCUUGCUGGUAGAUAUGGGAUACAAGCUUGGCAAGCAUUCAAAGCACGACCAGCGGUGCCCAAAAUGAGGAAAUUCUAUGACGGUGGAUUCCAGCCUACAAUGACAAGAAGGGAAGCCGCUCUUAUUCUUGGCAUCAGGGAGAGCGCAACAGCGGAUAAAGUGAAAGAAGCACACAGAAAAGUAAUGGUUGCAAACCACCCCGAUGCGGGCGGCAGCCAUUUCCUCGCCUCUAAAAUCAACGAGGCUAAGGACGUGAUGCUCGGGAAAUCCAAAGGAAGUGGAUCUGCUUUCUGAUGCAUAAUAUCUCGAAUCUAAGAAAGAAAUGCGCACCUCUUCCCUGUUGCUUGCUGGGUGUUAUUUAAUAUUUAUUCUGCAGAAGAGCCUGAAACCAUUUCAGUUUUCUUUUCAAGCUUGUCGUUUUGUUGAAGCAACGAAAAAAAGAAGGAAGUAAACACAGAUGGAUACUGACUUAGUUUUAGACACUCGCUUUCAGUAUUGAACCACAAAGAAGAACAACAUUUUGGCUUGGCGUAAAAGAGAGUUCGAUGGGCAACACCACCGCCUUUCCUUUGAGUGCUUCGUUUUGGAACGUUGAUUGAGAAUCAGAAGCUCCAGUGUUCUCUCAAGUUGAUCACCAUCCCACCAAGUGUUUUUAACAUUUUGGGAGGCUAUACAACUUUUAUGUAAACGGAAACUCAGAUGUCUGCAGGCGUUAAGAAUGUAUAUAUAUAUUCGACCCC